UACGUAGGUGACCAGCGUUGUCCGGAUUUACUGGGCGUAAAGAGCGCGCAGGCGGUCGUUCAAGUCGCGUGUGAAAGCCCCCGGCUCAACUGGGGAGGGUCACGCGAUACUGAUCGACUCGAAGGCAGGAGAGGGUAGUGGAAUUCCCGGUGUAGUGGUGAAAUGCGUAGAUAUCGGGAGGAACACCAGAGGCGAAGGCGGCCUACUGGGUCGCACCUGACGCUGAGCCGCGAAAGCCAGGGGAGCGAACGGG
rnacentral:rRNA from 1 species